UAGCGAAGGGGGCUAGCGUUGCUCGGAAUCACUGGGCGUAAAGCGCACGUAGGCGGAUUGCGUAAGUCAGGGGUGAAAUCCUGGAGCUCAACUCCAGAACUGCCUUUGAUACUGGCGACCUUGAGUCCGGGAGAGGUGAGUGGAACUGCGAGUGUAGAGGUGAAAUUCGUAGAUAUUCGCAAGAACACCAGUGGCGAAGGCGGCUCACUGGCCCGGUACUGACGCGUGAGG
rnacentral:rRNA from 1 species